CCUACGGGUGGCUGCAGUGGGGAAUAUUGCACAAUGGGGGAAACCCUGAUGCAGCGACGCCGCGUGAAGGAUGAAGUAUUUCGGUAUGUAAACUUCUAUCAGCAGGGAAGAAAAUGACGGUACCUGACUCAUAAGCCCCGGCGAACUACGUGCCAGCAGCCGCGGUAAUACGGAGGGGGCAAGCUUUAUCCGGAUUUACUGGGUGUAAAGGGAGCGUAGACGGCAUGGCAAGUCUGAUGUGAAAACCCGGGGCUCAACCCGGGUAGUGCAUUGGAAACUGUGAGGCUAGAGUGUCGGAGAGGCGAGUGGAAUUCCAUGUGUAGCGGUGAAAUGCGUAGAUAUUAGGAGGAACACCAGUGGCGAAGGCGGCUUGCUGGACGAUGACUGACGUUGAGGUUCGAAAGCGUGGGGAGCAAACAGGAUUAGAUACCCUUGUAGUC
rnacentral:rRNA from 1 species